rnacentral:rRNA from 1 species
UACGUAGGUCCCGAGCGUUGUCCGGAUUUAUUGGGCGUAAAGCGAGCGCAGGUGGUUUAUUAAGUCUGGUGUAAAAGGCAGUGGCUCAACCAUUGUAUGCAUUGGAAACUGGUAGACUUGAGUGCAGGAGAGGAGAGUGGAAUUCCAUGUGUAGCGGUGAAAUGCGUAGAUAUAUGGAGGGACACCGGUGGCGAAAGCGGCUCUCUGGCCUGUAACUGACACUGAGGCUCGAAAGCGUGGGGAGCAAACAGG